AUCUUUGCUCCAACAGGUAGCAAAGAUCAAUGCUAUUCAAACUGUUCAAAUUAGGAUUAGGUUUGGUUUGAGUCGACCUAUUUCAGAUUUUCUCUCUGGUGUAUGAUGCAUUCUUCAGUCUAGCUAUAUGGUUCUAAUUCCUAAACCAAGACCCUAAUGUGCUUUCAAGUAGAUAAAGCUCAAUAUUGUAAUUUGGUUCUCUAACUUGGUAGAAUUUGGACUUCAAACUCUCCUCCCUAGUCCUACAUACAAAUCUCUGCCCAGUUCUUAAGUUUACCCAAUAUUUCUUAGUUUUUUAAAGAGGACUUUACAGUCAAAUUUUGACCUCAUACUUUUAUGUUCCCUCCUUUUUAGUUUCCUUCCCUCUCAACUUACAGAUGUUCUGGAAGCACUAGAUUAUAACCUGAGACUCCUAAGCCCAGGAAAGCUGCCACAGUGGGCUUGAGCCCUCUCUUUGGUGUGUCAAGAAGCUAAAGAAACUAUGGACAAAGAGCUAACAAGAACAAGAAGAAUGAUAUUUCAUUAAAUAGAGAUAUCAAUAAAAAAAGGUGGAGUCUUGCUCUGUUGCCCAGGCUGGAGUGCAGUGGCAUGAUCUUGGCUCACUGCAACCUCUGCCUCCUGGGUUCAAGCAAUUUUCCUGCCUCAGCCUCCCGAGUAGCUGUGAUUAUAGGCAAGUGCCACCACGCCCGGCUAAUUUUCAUAUUUUUAGUAGA
rnacentral:lncRNA from 1 species